rnacentral:tRNA from 1 species
GUUUGUGACUCAGUGGUAGAGCGCUCGCCUAGCAUGUGUGAGGCGCUGGAUUCAAUCCUCAGCAUCACA